UGCUAGUUGAUGUUUUUAUAAACAUGGCGUACGGGUGAGUAAUACACAAGAAUCUACCUUAAAGUUUUGGAUAAUCGUAUUUUUUAUAAAGAAUGUUAUGCAGCGAUAAUCCGAAAUUAAAAAGUAAAAUACUGCUUUAAGAUGAGCUUGUGAAGGAUUAGGUAGUUGGUACGGUAAAAGCGUACCAAGCCGAUGAUCCUUAGCUGGUCUGAGAAGAUAAUCAGCCACACUGGGACUGAGAUAAGGCCCAGGCUUAUAGCCAGCAGUGAGGAAUCUUGGACAAUGAGCGAAAGCUUGAUCCAGUAAUACUGCGUGAAUGAGGAAAGCAAAAAAGAUUUAUAGGUCUCACGAUUUAUAAAUCGGUUGUAAAGUUCUUUCGUUGAUGAGGAUAAUGACUGUAAUCAAAGAAGAAGCCCCGGCUAACUUCGUGCCAGCAGCCGCGGUAAUACGAAGGGGGCGAGCGUUAUCCGGAAUGAUUGGGCGUAAAGUGUUCGUAGGCUGUACUUGUUGUUAUAAGUAAAAUACUAGGUUUGUUGCUUAGAUCUGCUUAUAAUACACUUUUGCUUGAGUAUAGUAGAGGAUAGCAGAAUUUCGUACUUAGGGGUAAAAUCCUAUUAUUUACGAAGGAAUGUCAGCGGCGAAGGCGGCUAUCUGGGCUAUUAACUGACGCUGAGGAACGAAAGCAUAGGGAGCAAACAGGAUUAGAUACCCUGGUAGUCUAUGCUGUCAAAGAUGAGUGCUAAUGUUAGGAAUUUUUCUAGCAUAAAGCUAACGCGUUAAGCACUCCGCCUGGGAAGUACGAUCGCAAGAUUGGAACUCAAGGAAUUGACGGGGUCUACACAAGUGUGGAGCAUGUGUUUAUGCGAUAUACGCGCAAACCUUACCA
rnacentral:rRNA from 1 species